ACCUGGGCAGUGAGCAGCUCAGAGUUCCCGGUCCCCUUCUGAUACCGGCCCUGCUCCCGGUCUCUGGGGACAACGCAACUGGCCUGAAGGAAACCUCGAGAAGGAAAGUCUGUUGCUGCCUUAUCCACCAUCUAGACGCAGUGCCCGACAGAGCCCCGCGCAGAGAAGGUGCUGGAAAGCCCGUUUCGCCUGCAUAAAUGCCUGUGAACAGUGUCUUUACAGAUGUAAUCAAGUCAAGAUGAGGAUGUAUUGGAGUAGGCUGGGCCCGAAAUCCAGUGACUGACAUCCUUAUGAAGAGAGACAUUUGGAGAUACACAGACACACUCAUGGGGAGGAAGGCCUUGUGAAGACAUAAGAGGCUGUUCCUUUCCU